CUUCACUUUCUCAUGGAGCACUAGUGUAUUUAUUUAUGUUUCUUUCCCCUUUCUUCCUGUCUAUCUUUCUCCUCCUAUUUGUUAGCACCCCCUCCUUCUUCCCUCAACCAAAAUGGCUACUUUGUAGUAAUUUGUAGGUUGGUACAGCUGUUUUUUGUUGCCAGUAUUACUUAUAUUUGUCAUAUUGCUAUCCUAUGAAUAUCUCUGUAUCUUGUAAAUUCCAAAUGAUAU